GGGUCUUGUAGCCAGCAGCUGUGACCCAGACUUGUGCUUCCCGGAGCCCAGCCUCGGUGCCGCUCUCUCCCUGGGCGAUGCUCCGUCAAGUUGACUCAGCAGCCCGGGACUGAAUUUGAAAAGGGCGGGUAGUUGAUGCGGGCCCGGGGCUGGUUGUCCGUGCGGGGAAGGUGGCUCAGGAGGCAUCGCAGGGUGUGGAAAGUAAGAAAGAAAAAACAGCAGCGGGUGCCUAGCAAAAAAGUGUGGGGUUAAAGGCAGCAUAGUGUUGUUGCAGGGACUUCUCAAGGAAGAGGUCUGUGAACUUUAUUAUUAUUUCCAGUGGAUCCUUUCUCCAUGAACUUGCCUGGUUGCCCCUUCAGACCAUGGAAAGUUUUAGCACAUAACCACCCAUGAGCGCUGAGAUGAUGUUAGUGAGGACACUGGAGAGGAUCAAAGUUGCAACAGGGGCUUAAAAGACAGUAACACUGUUUCAUUGCCCGGUUGGGAUUGUUCUUUGUGUACUACUUAAGAGAAGCCAGGCCGGUCAUCCCAAGCAGCUGGUGCAGCUCUGCCUCUCUUGAAAGAAUGCAGGAGUGCCAAAGGGGAAAAGCUGCUUCUGAGACAUUGUCAUUUUAGUGCAUCUGACUUCAAAGUCCACUCCUGAGGGCUCAUCGCUCAUCCAGUGCUGGGGAGUCUAGACCAGAUUAAGGCUGUCCACAAAACCCAUGCAGAACACAUUUCAGCGAGGUGUCAUUCUGUUGAAGGGUGGAGCUCCAUCAUCAGCUUUGCCUGCAGCUGAUUGGGAUGGUCCAGCUUUUCCCAAGAAAUCCUUGCUGCAGGUUUCUGCUGCUACCUUUGCAUCAUGUCCAAGUUGUCACAUGGCUACAAGGUGAAAUCUAAUAAUUUUUUGUGGGUUUUCUGCUAGUUCAGUGAAUGGAACCCACUCAGUAUAGAGACCCAAUUACCAGGAAGCAACACAAGUCAGAAAGUAGGAGCUGGUCCGUCUCUUCCACAGUCAUCUUAAGGCUACACCAUACAUGAAAUACAAACCUUCAUAGUGCUGGGCCUCAGAUCUGCUCAUCAAGAUUUAUACUUUGCAUCUCAGUAAUUUGCAGUACUAAUGUGAAUCAAAGUCAUGACCUAUACUUGUUUCCAUUUGUAAUCCUUGCUUGAACUCAGACUACAUUUUUCCGUGGCACUAAAAUGAACUUGUAAUCUACCAGGAACACUGCCCUGUUCAGCACUGAUCGCACAGACUGGACUUCUCCACUGAGCAGAACUCAGACUUCAUACUAUUUGCUUUUUAUUUGGCCUUUCUUUCAUGAGACUCGGGUUGGAGUAUUUAAAGCCUGUUUACCAGGCUGUGUGCUAUGUCAGGUCUUUUUGGAAAUUGCACCAUGUCUGGUUCUGGUUUUGAAAACUGAAAAAAAACAGUCCUUAGUUACUAAUUUUCUUCAUCACAUAAGGUCCAUGAACUCUACAGCAUAAACCUUACUGUUUACCUGUUUUCAUUAAGUAUCACAGUAUCACGGUAUGUUAGGGAUUGGAAGAGACCUCAAAAGAUCAUCUAGUCCAAUCCCCCUGCUGGAGCAGGAACACCUAGGUGAGGUCGCACAGGAACAUGUCCAGGCGGGUUUUGAAUGUCUCCAGAGAAGGAGACUCCACAACCUCCCUGGGCAGCCUGUUCCAGUGCUCUGUUACCCUUACUGAGAAGAAGUUUUUUCUCAAAUUUAAGUGGAACCUCUUGUGUUCCAGCUUGAUCCCAUUACCCCUUGUCCUAUCAUUGUUUGCCACCGAGAAGAGCCUGGCUCCAUCCUCAUGGCACUCACCCUUUAUAUAUUUAUAAACAUUAAUGAGGUCCCCCCUUAGUCUCCUCCAAACUAAAGAGACCCAGCUCCCUCAGCCUUUCUUCAUAAGGGAGGUGCUCCACUCCCUUAAUCAUCUUCGUUGCCCUACGCUGGACCCUCUCCAGCAGUUCCCUGUCCUUCUUGAACUGAGGGGCCCAGAACUGGACACAAUAUUCCAGAUGUGGUCUCACCAGGGCGGAGUAGAGGGGAAGGAGGACCUCUCUCGAUCUACUAGCCACCCCGCUUCUAAUACACCCCAGGAUGCCAUUGGCCUUCCUGGCCACAAGGGCACAGUGCUGGCUCAUGGUCAUCCUGUUGUCCACCAGGACCCCCAGGUCCCUUUCCCCUACACUGCUCUCUAAUAUGUAAUUUCCCAACCUAUACUGGAACCUGGGGUUGUUCCUGCCCAGAUGCAGGACUCUACACUUUCCCUUGUUAAAUUUCAUUAGGUUAUUCCCCGCCCAACUCUCCAGCCUGUCCAGGUCCCGCUGGAUGGCAGCACAGCCUUCUGGCGUGUCAGCCACACCUCCCAGCUUAGUGUCAUCAGCAAACUUGCUGAUAGUACACUCUAUUCCCUCGUCUAAAUUGUUAAUGAAUAUAUUGAAUAAUAUUGGCCCCAGUACUGAGCCCUGAGGCACUCCACUAGAUACAGGCCUCCAACUAGACUCUGCACCAUUGACUACCACUCUCUGGCUUCUCUCCUUAAGCCAGUUUGCAACCCACCUCACUAGUCUAUUGUCUAGACCACACCUCCUCAACUUAGCUGUGAGGAUACUGUGGGAGACUGUGUCAAAGGCUUUACUGAAGUCAAGGUAGACCACAUCCACCGCUCUGCCAUCAUCCAUCCACCUUGUUACAUUCUCAUAAAAGGCUAUGAGGUUGGUCAAGCAUGACUUACCCUUGGUAAAGCCAUUCUGACUGCCCCUAAUAACCCUCUUAUCCUUGAUAUGCCUUGAGAUGGCACCAAGGAUUAGCUGUUCCAUUACUUUCUCAGGGACAGAGGUGAGGCUGACCGGUCUAUAAUUACCCGGGUCCUCCUUCUUGCCCUUUUUGAAGACUGGAGUGACAUUUGCUUUCCUCCAGUCCUCGGGCACCUCCCCCGUUUCCCAAGACUUGGCAAAGAUGAUGGAGAGUGGUCCAGCAAUGACUUCAGCCAGCUCCCUCAGCACCCGCAGAUGCAUCCCAUCUGGACCCAUGGCUUUAUGGAUGUCCAGACUAUUUAAUUGCUCCCUAACCCAGUCCUCAUCGACUAAAGCAAACUCCUCCAUUGACCUGGCUUCAUCCGGGGUCUCAGGGGUACAGGGCCCCUCAGGACAGCCUCCGGCAGAGUAGACAGAGACAAAGAAGGCAUUCAGUAAUUCUGCCUUCUCUGUAUCUUCUGCCACCAGGGCACCCACCCCAUUCAUCAGUGGGCCUACAUUGCCUCUGGUAUUAGUUUUAUCUGCUAUGUAUUUGAAAAAAUUCUUUUUGCUGUCCUUGACCCCUCUCGCCAGCUGUAAUUCUAAGGAGGCCUUGGCUAUCCUAGCUGCCUUCCUACAUCCUCUAACAGCAGCCUUAUAUUCCUCCCAAGUGGCCAGACCCUGCUUCCAUGACCUGUAAACUCUCCUCUUCUGCUUGAGCAUACCCAACAGAUCCCUAUUCAACCACGCAGGCCUCCUGGCUCCCUUCCUUGACUUUCUUCGUGUGGGGAUGCUUUGAUCCUGAGCGUGGAAGAAGCAAUCUCUGAAUGCAAUCCAGCUAUCUUGGGCCCCUUUUCCUUCAAGCAGUCUUGCCCAUGGGAUUUCCCCCAGCAAUUGCUUGAAAAGGCCAAAGUUAGCCCUGCUAAAGUCCAGGGUUGCAAUUCUACUUGCUAUUCUGUUCCUGUCACCCAAGAUGCUGAACUCCACCAUCUCGUGGUCACUGCAACCCAGGCAGCCCUCAACCUUUACUGCUUCGACCAGACCCUCCUUGUUAGUGAGGAUGAGAUCCAGCAGUGCACCUCUCCUAGUCGGCUCCUCCACCAUCUGCAUGAGGAAGUUAUCAUCAAUGCACUGGAGGAACCUCCUGGACUGUGGCUGGCUGGCUGAAUGGUCCUUCCAGCAAACAUCAGGAAGGUUAAAAUCCCCCACAACAACCAGGGCCUGUGACUGUGAGGCCACUCUCAACUGCCCAUAGAAGGCCUCAACAACUUCCUCAGCCUGAUCUGGUGGCCUGUAACAGACGCCCACAACAGUGUCACCCCUGCCAGCCUGCCCCUUGAUCCUGACCCAUACACUCUCAACUCGCUCGUCAUCCACUCCUGGGCAGAAUUUAGUACAUUGUAGUUGCUCUCUCACAUAGAGAGCAACUCCACCACCAUGCCUGACUGGCCUGUCUUUCCUGAAAAGGAAUGUAUGUAUCAUUCUUAAGUGCUCCAGCAAUUGCUUACACAGAAGAAUAGUGCUAGAAAAACUAAACAUUUUUAUCCAUGCUUAAUUGUGUUUAACUGAUUUUGGUCACAGUACAAUUUAUUUUUGAGAGCAGCUGCUUUGUUAUGCCUUAUUUCACAUUCCAAAUUUACAUGUCUUAUUUUUUUCUCUCUCUGCCUACUCUCCAGUACGUAUUCCUCUGCAAUCUCAUCCUUUUCUCAGUCUUCUGCACACACAUGCUUUUCCUUUUCACAUUACUUAUCAAUGUAAUUCUUCCCAACUGCAUUCACGUCCUUAGCUAAGUGGUUCUCAGAAACUUUGAAUAUUCCAUUCUUAUAGAGAAAAAAAAAAAGAGUCUCUUACACUGGAGUAAGGCCUUUUAAGAUUAGUUAAUGAUAGAUUAAUGCUGAUAUUAGUGCUCAGACAAAAGAAUGCAGUAAUAGCUAAUGCCUGUAUUGACCUCAAGUCCUGAGGUCAUGAAUGCCACGUAGGUCCUUGUGGAUUGUUUAGAUGCAGAGGCCUUGGUUGUAUACAAGUCUGUUGCUGGAUGGUAAUGUUACUAGGGGGUGAAAUGCACAGGGAAAGCAAUGGAUGUGUGCCAUGAAUUAUUUUGGAUAAAAAAUACUUAUUUUUAUGCAAAUUUUAUAUAUAAAUUACCCACAACUAAAUUCAGUAGUAUACAAAUAUAAUAGAUAACCUAGCAGAUAAAAAAGUGAGGAAGGACCUUGUUUUUCUGUUUGAAGCAAUAGCAAUACAGAGAUACACUGAAGUCUUCAAUUCUAACCCCUUCCUUUCUUCUUCGUCAUGAACAGGAUCCCAGCCUUAGCAGCAUCUUCUAAUAAGUAUUCUGGCCAAAUUGUUAAAAAGCUAUGUCUUCUAAUAUGUUAAACAAGAAUAAAUAUUCUUACAAGUGUA